GAUGAACGCUGGCGGCGUGCCUAAUACAUGCAAGUCGAGCGAACAGACGAGGAGCUUGCUCCUCUGACGUUAGCGGCGGACGGGUGAGUAACACGUGGAUAACCUACCUAUAAGACUGGGAUAACUUCGGGAAACCGGAGCUAAUACCGGAUAAUAUAUUGAACCGCAUGGUUCAAUAGUGAAAGACGGUUUUGCUGUCACUUAUAGAUGGAUCCGCGCCGCAUUAGCUAGUUGGUAAGGUAACGGCUUACCAAGGCAACGAUGCGUAGCCGACCUGAGAGGGUGAUCGGCCACACUGGAACUGAGACACGGUCCAGACUCCUACGGGAGGCAGCAGUAGGGAAUCUUCCGCAAUGGGCGAAAGCCUGGCGGAGCAACGCCGCGUGAGUGACGAAGGUCUUCGGAUCGUAAAACUCUGUUAUUAGGGAAGAACAAAUGUGUAAGUAACUAUGCACGUCUUGACGGUACCUAAUCAGAAAGCCACGGCUAACUACGUG
rnacentral:rRNA from 1 species